AUUGAACGCUGGCGGCAGGCUUAACACAUGCAAGUCGAGCGAGUGGCGGACGGGUGAGUAAUGUCUGGGAAACUGCCUGAUGGAGGGGGAUAACUACUGGAAACGGUAGCUAAUACCGCAUACCAUCAGAUGUGCCCAGGUGGGAUUAGCUAGUGGGUGGGGUAAUGGCUCACCUAGGCGACGAUCCCUAGCUGGUCUGAGAGGAUGACCAGCCACACUGGAACUGAGACACGGCCCAGACUCCUACGGGAGGCAGCAGUGGGGAAUAUUGCGCAAUGGGGGCAAGCCUGAUGCAGCCAUGCCGCGUGAGUGAAGAAGGCCUUCGGGUUGUAAAGCACUUUCAGUGGGGAGGCGUUACUCGCAGAAGAAGCACCGGCUAACUCCGUGCCAGCAGCCGCGGUAAUAC
rnacentral:rRNA from 1 species